AGAACGAACGCUGGCGGCAUGCCUAAUACAUGCAAGUCGAACGAACUCUUCGGAGUUAGUGGCGCACGGGUGCGUAACGCGUGGGAAUCUGCCCUUGGGUUCGGAAUAACAGUUGGAAACGACUGCUAAUACCGGAUGAUGACGAAAGUCCAAAGAUUUAUCGCAAAGGGACGAGCCCGCGUAGGAUUAGCUAGUUGGUGAGGUAAAGGCUCACCAAGGCAACGAUCCUUAGCUGGUCUGAGAGGAUGAUCAGCCACACUGGGACUGAGACACGGCCCAGACCUCCGUACGGGAGCAGCAGGUAGGGAAUAGUGGACAAGUGGGACGAAAGCCGUGACUCCGAGACAAUGCCGCGUGAGUGAUGGAAGGUCGUUAGGUU
rnacentral:rRNA from 1 species